CGACUCCGUCACAGUCCGGCCCCUCCCCUGACACCAGAGCCUUCCGGGAACCACACUUGUACCCACUACGGCAGUCAUUCCCGGCCUAUGAACAAUCUUCAAACAUCCACAUCCCGUGAGAUCCGCUAUCUAAAUAUGUACUCUCGUUUCCAAUAAACGUUGUCGCCAACCGUCA